rnacentral:rRNA from 1 species
CCUACGGGGCGCAGCAGUAGGGAAUAUUGCUCAAUGGGGGAAACCCUGAAGCAGCAACGCCGCGUGGAGGAUGAAGGUUUUAGGAUUGUAAACUCCUUUUGUGAGAGAAGAUAAUGACGGUAUCUCACGAAUAAGCACCGGCUAACUCCGUGCCAGCAGCCGCGGUAAUACGGAGGGUGCAAGCGUUACUCGGAAUCACUGGGCGUAAGGAGUGCGCAGGCGGGCUUGUAAGUCAGAUGUGAAAUCCUGUCGCUUAACUACAGAACUGCAUUUGAACCUAUGAGUCUAGCGUGUGGGAGAGGUAGGUGGAAUGCUUGGGGUAGGGGUAAAAGCCGUAGAUAUCAAGAGGAAUACUCAUUGCGAAGGCGACCGACUGGAACAUUACUGACGCUCAUGCACGAAAGCGUGGGGAGCAAACAGGAUGAGAUACCCCAGUAGUC